rnacentral:rRNA from 1 species
GGGUACUCGAGUGGCGAACGGGUGAGUAACACGUGAGUAACCUGCCCUUGACUUCGGGAUAACUUCAGGAAACUGGGGCUAAUACCGGAUAGGAGCUCCUGCUGCAUGGUGGGGGUUGGAAAGUUUCGGCGGUUGGGGAUGGACUCGCGGCUUAUCAGCUUGUUGGUGGGGUAGUGGCUUACCAAGGCUUUGACGGGUAGCCGGCCUGAGAGGGUGACCGGCCACAUUGGGACUGAGAUACGGCCCAG